rnacentral:sRNA from 1 species
CUGCUUGUCGCGAUCGAGCUCAGCCUCGAUCGCCUUGAGGAUCUCACCGUAGAACGGGUUCAUGAUG